rnacentral:lncRNA from 1 species
UAACGUACAUAGAAAUAAAUCAUCAAUUAAUUUCAGGGACUUGGAUCAAAAAUUGAAAACCAACAAGGUUUCAGUCAAAGACUGUUCAUAACUAGGGACCGCAUCCAAAGUCUCCCUAAUAUAAAACUCGAUCCCAUGCAGUUCGGGCCCUAUAAUAUUUACUGCGCAAAGGAACCUUCUAUAUACGACUAUGAAACUUUGCUGGUUUAUGCAGAGACUGAGAUGGCUAACUGAUCAGUACUAGUCAGUUCGAUCUGCUAAAAAAGAAAAAACUAAAAACCAAAGCCCAAAGAAAAAGAAGAAGCUGAAUUACAAGAGGCUGCGACAACCAUGGCCUAUAAAUAUGUAUACAAACGAUAAGACGAGGAAACACGCAAACUCUAGGCCAGAAAAAAUCCACAAUAUUGCAGCGUACGUGGGUCUGAGUGUUACAACUGCAUGCAUGCAAUCCGAGCCCUUGAUGCAUACGAGGUUCCUGCCUCUACUCUAGCAUUAUCUUUAACCAUUUUCUUUCACUUUCACUUCCGACGAAUCGAGUUUUUAUCCUUUUUAUGAAAUAAUUAGUUACAGCCAAAAUUCAUAUGAUAUGUAGAGAUAAAUAUUGCCUUAUAAGGUGGUACAUGCUGAACCUCAAUUCAACUACAGUAAACAUAUUUUAAUAUUUGUUUUGUCAAAAUGAUUGAUUUUUAGUAAUGACAUUAAGCAUAUACCUAUGACACAACUAUGACAUAAUAACACAAUAAUAACAUAAUGACGAUUUAAACACUUAUUAUUUCUGCAAUUAAAUUUCGAAAUAUAUUUGUUGUAGCUAAUUAACAUAAUUUUUCUUGUGAUAAUGUCUAGAAACUAAACACAUAUUUGUGCAAAUCCUUCCAAAAGUUAGAGAGAUCAAAUUUUUUAAAUUAAAUUUGCAAACCAAAUGAUGUGAUUAUUGAUGAUUGAAAUGCUUAUUUCUUAUUAAAGUCACAUCAUUUAGUUAUAAAUUUAGUUUAAAAUUUUGAUCUUGCUAACAUUAUCCUUUCUUUAAAAUGAUCCUUUGUGCUCAAUCACCAUCGAUCAAAUAAGCUGUUGCAUUGACAUUCCAACACGAGGCGUGGAACGUUGGAUCUUCUUGCUCCCUUCAACUCCUCUAGUGAAGCGUGCCCCACAAUACGGGCCACUUUCAGAUUGAUUACUGACGCCAAAGUAUCCAUCCUUUUCCUUCCUCCGCAGUCCGCACUCACUCGCAGCAUCGGAUUCUCGU